GACGAACGCUGGCGGCGUGCCUAAUACAUGCAAGUAGAACGCUGAAGGAGGAGCUUGCUUCUCUGGAUGAGUUGCGAACGGGUGAGUAACGCGUAGGUAACCUGCCUGGUAGCGGGGGAUAACUAUUGGAAACGAUAGCUAAUACCGCAUAACAGUAGAUAUCGCAUGAUAUCUACUUGAAAGGUGCAAUUGCAUCACUACCAGAUGGACCUGCGUUGUAUUAGCUAGUUGGUGAGGUAACGGCUCACCAAGGCGACGAUACAUAGCCGACCUGAGAGGGUGAUCGGCCACACUGGGACUGAGACACGGCCCAGACUCCUACGGGAGGCAGCAGUAGGGAAUCUUCGGCAAUGGACGGAAGUCUGACCGAGCAACGCCGCGUGAGUGAAGAAGGGUUUCGGAUCGUAAAGCUCUGUUGUAAGAGAAGAACGAGUGUGAGAGUGGAAAGUUCACACUGUGACGGUAGCUUACCAGAAAGGGACGGCUAACUACGUG
rnacentral:rRNA from 1 species